UGAAAGCAGGUGCAGGUAAAGUCAUCAUCAUCAUUUCAUCAGUGCACAUGUGCAUGAUAGUAACAUAUGGGAUUAGCAUCCAGGUCUCCAAUGGGGGAUUCAUCAGUGAUCAGUCAGCAAGAGGAAGAUCUGUCAUUGAGGAGAUAGGACUUAUUGGGUUCCCUACCCACUUUUGCCAUCACUAUGGACACACAAGCAGGUGUACCUACGUAAUAUACUGUAGGCUUAUUGAUAAAUCCUUUAGGGUUAAACUGUUGCCUGUAUUAUUUAUUUAUUUAUUUAUUUAUGUAUACCUUAUAGUCACUGUUGAAUAUUUAUAAACUAAACACAAAUUACAAACUCAUUCAAUAAAUUAAUGAAUCCAACAUCAACUCAAAGAAAGUGGUCAUGAUCGAAAGAUAAUUCAACACCUUGUGUUCAACUCCUACAAAGUGACGUUUACAAGCCACCCCCCUCCUGCAUGAGGUGCGCGAGCCCCGCCCCCCCUCCGCAUGAGGUGCGUGAGCUGCAUGCUGCAGACAAACAGCAGUGAAAUGCCAUGAGGAGUGGCCUUUAAGAUGAUAUGGCUGGCAAUGAAGCGAUAAUGGAGAAAUCUGUGAGGAGAAGACGGGUCCGUCCUCAACAGGAUGCCGAACAACACAUUAAACUGAAAAUGACAAGGCUGGUCUCACAGAGCAUUUUAUCAACCCAUACAAAGCAGCAAUUGGCACCUGAUGUUAGCCAGCUGAUUGUGGAAGAAAGCGACAGACCUCAGCAGCAAUUGGCACUUGAUGUUUGCCAGCUGAUUGUGGAAGAAAGCGACAGACCUCAGCAGCAAUUGGCACCUGAUGUUAGCCAGCCAAGUGUCGAAGAAACCAACAGACCUCAGCAGCAAUUGGCACCUGAUGUUAGCAAGCCAAUUGUCGAAGCAAGCGAAAGACCUCAGACAACAGAGGUAACUCCAAACGUAAGUGGGAAGACAGUGAGGUGCUUGCAGUUGAAAGACACAUGAUGCGCUUCAUCCACACAUGCAAGGUACCUCAAAAGAUUGACUGCAUUCCGUGCAUCAAUGCAGAACCGAAUCUGGACUGGAGUGAAAAAUUAUGUUCGAAAUUGGAUCACUGCCUUAAAGAGAAAGGCUUGUUUACAGGACUCACAAUAGCUAUUUCUUGAAGUAUACCUGUGUGAAGUAUGUCUGUUAUCUUAUUCUAGAGGCUAAUGUUAAGUUUGUUUGUGCCUAAAGCCCCCUUUUUUUUAUAUUGCCAAAAUUCUUGGUUGUAGUUUAGAGCACAACCUGCUAUUAUCAUGUUGCUGGCGAGCCCAAGAAAUUAUUUCUCUAGUCAAGUAUGUUAACUGACUGCUGUCCAGAUGCAUUCAUUUGAAAGCUAGCCAAGUUUGUGGCGACCUGUAAUUUUCAAGGACAUUGCAUUUGAGCUGUGUGGCACUGUACAUGAUGUCCAUUAUGUUACUAAAACAUAAGUUAACAGCAAACGCAUGUCUGUUUGGUGUAUUUUUAUUUCAUGCAGAUUUUCAUUGUGGUGCUACUAUGACAUAUUCAGUCUACCUCUUAAUCUGCAUUAUUCCAUGGUCUGGGUGAGUACUGUUUUCUGAUUGGCCGACAGGUGUGUGUCAAUUAAGAAAUAGCUCACGACAGGCCGUGGUAUGUUGGGAUUAUAUCACAACUAAAGGGCGAUGUUUGGCCCAACGAGACCAGUGUUACACGAUCAAAGAUUGAAUUUUAUAUUUCAUCACAACAUGCUCUCCUUAAUAAACAUAGCUGAAAGUGCAUGCAGAUAAUGACAUUAUAUGAGUCUUGUCCCCAAAGGAAAGUGAGGCACCCAAAGGUGACUUUUAUCAGUCUGUGUAUUUGUGUAUAGCUGAAGACCCACAUUAAAAUUAUUCGUCCCCAAUAUCAAGGUAAAAAUUCUGUAUGGACAAAAGUUGUUUAAAACGAAAAUCUCAAGUUAUUUUCAUAAUCUGGAGACUCCCAGUAAUAUAUUCCACUUGCCAGCAUCUCUCUAAACCAUUCAGAAAGUGGUGUCCUCUAAGGGGGGGUGUUGAAAUGUGCGCCCCCAAAGAGGACAUAAGUAAGUAGGUGUGUGUGUGUGUGUGUGUGUGUGUUUUAUAGGCCUACAGUAAUAUCUUACCUCAAUGGGAUGUUAUGACACUAAAAAUGACAAGAAAGAUAUUGGAGAAAAUAAAUCAAAUUGUUGAUGAUACAGUUUACAGUGGUAUUACAGUCACUGUGCAGUGAUGCAUUAGAAUUGCGGUAAAGUUACUGUAAGUAAAACUACAAUACAAUUACAUUGGUAACUCAUUCUUUAAGAAAUACAUACAUUAUGAAUGGUAAUACAGAGUUGUCCUUUGAAUUGUAUGUCUAGGAUUGGACGACAACCUCGCACGGGUGGCAGAGGAAAACUCAAUGACCAAUAAGAGCAAUAUAUCUGUCUCAGUGUGAUGGCAAAUAAUGCCACCAUUUGAGAUGAACUCUGAUAGAGUGAAAGAGCUGCGGUACCAGUAUGUACAUGUAAGUCAGUUACUGGUUGUCUAUCAUUAUAACCUUUUUACAAUUAAGCAGUGGUUCCCAAACAUUUUUGGCUUCAGUACCCCCUUUACCUGAUGUCUGAAUCCAAGAAUUUGCUUUAUCUGACUUCAACAUUUUGCCUAAAAACUGCAACACAAAACUGCAGCUUAUCAUUAUAAACCUUAUUUUGAAGAAUAUAAGAUACGGUAAGAAAAGGGGUCAAGGAGCUGCAAUUAGUGUCUCCCAAGCAGAUCUAUCUAAUACUGUGGGUUUUACUGUAACAUUUCAGUAUGUCAUUGAUGAUUUCCCCCUCCCCUUUGUCUCAAUAUACGCUAUGAUGUGGACGAGAAUCUGUGGCCAGACAGACAGCAACAUGUGGACGGCCAGGAGGGUGAGGAUGGUGGCCAGGAGAGGGAGGGUGAGGACAGUGACCAGCGAAGAAAUGUUUUGAAUCUCCAGCUUUAUUGACAGCACGGGUGAGGAUGGUGGCCAGGAGAGGGAGGGUGAGGACAGUGACCAGCGAAGAAAUGUUUUGAAUCUCCAGCUUUAUUGACAGCACUGUAGGCUACAUAUCAUUUUCCUUGUUUUUUGUUUAUGUGUUUAUAUUACAGUAUAUUGUGCUGUAUACAUUUUCUUUUAACUCUGAUGUAUGGAAGUUACUUUAUGUGUGUAAAUUAAAAUGGUUACAAU
rnacentral:lncRNA from 1 species